rnacentral:rRNA from 1 species
UGCUGAAAGCAUCUAAGCACGAAACUUGCCCCGAGAUGAGUUCUCCCUGACCCUUUAAGGGUCCUGAAGGAACGUUGAAGACGACGACGUUGAUAGGCCGGGUGUGUAAGCGCAGCGAUGCGUUGAGCUAACCGGUACUAAUGAACCGUGAGGCUUAACCUUACAACGCCGAAGCUGUU